rnacentral:rRNA from 1 species
UGGGGAAUAUUGCGCAAUGGGGGGAACCCUGACGCAGCCAUGCCGCGUGAAUGAAGAAGGCCUUAGGGUUGUAAAGUUCUUUCGGUAUUGAGGAAGGUUGAUGUGUUAAUAGCACAUCAAAUUGACGUUAAAUACAGAAGAAGCACCGGCUAACUCCGUGCCAGCAGCCGCGGUAAUACGGAGGGUGCGAGCGUUAAUCGGAAUAACUGGGCGUAAAGGGCACGCAGGCGGUUAUUUAAGUGAGGUGUGAAAGCCCUGGGCUUAACCUAGGAAUUGCAUUUCAGACUGGGUAACUAGAGUACUUUAGGGAGGGGUAGAAUUCCACGUGUAGCGGUGAAAUGCGUAGAGAUGUGGAGGAAUACCGAAGGCGAAGGCAGCCCCUUGGGAAUGUACUGACGCUCAUGUGCGAGAGCGUGGGGAGCAAACAGGAUUAGAUACCCUGGUAGUCCACGCUGUAAACGCUGUCGAUUUGGGGGUUGGGGUUUAACUCUGGCGCCCGUAGCUAACGUGAUAAAUCGACCGCCUGGGGAGUACGGCCGCAAGGUUA